rnacentral:rRNA from 1 species
AACGAACGCUGGCGGCAUGCCUAACACAUGCAAGUCGAACGAUGGUCUUCUGAUCAUAUUGUCUCACGGGUGCGUAACGCGUGGGAAUCUGCCCUUGGGUUCGGAAUAACAUUUUGAAACGACUGCUAGUACCGGAUGAUGUCCAUAAGACCAAAGAUUUAUCGCCCGAGGAUGAGCCCGCGUCGGAUUCGCUAGUUGGUGGGGUAAAGGCAUACCAAUGCGACGAUCCGUAGCUGGUAUGAGAGGAUGAUCAGCGACACUGGGACUGAGACACGGCCCAGAAUACUACGGGAGGGAGCAGUGGGGAAUAUAGGAAUAUGGGGGCAAGGAUGAACCAGCACUGCCGGGUGAGUGAUGAAGGCGUUAGAGUUGUACAGCUGUUUUACCCGGGAAGAUACUGACUGUACCGGGAGAAUAAGCCCCGGCUAACUCCGUG